UAAGAGGCCCAAUGAUUUAUGGACACCUUGUACUACACAUUACAAAUAGCAUGCAUAUGUAAUAUUAUUAGACUAAUUAAUUUACAAGUAAAUUCUAAAUCAAAAACUACACUUGGAGGAAGAUUACUUUUAAUUAUUUCUCAUUCAGUGUUAUUAUAAUUAAAUACCAGUCUAUUAGAGUGAAGAUUAAAGAAAGGUGAAACUGGACUAGUGUGAAGAAAAUGUGUCAUUUCACAGUGAGAACUUGUCACAAUGUAGUGAAACACAGAAGUCAUGUUCAAAUGUGUUGUCAUAGAAAUACGUAAUUUACACUUCUAGUGACAAUAGAAGCUGCUUCCCCAGAAGAAGGAUCUCCAUUUACAGUUUUUGAUUUUGAAAUAAAGAAGGAAAAGUUUGAAGUACCAAAGGAAACUGAGUUACCUCUACCACUGAAGAUGGAUGGAGGUUAUGUGUUCACCCCUGUGUUUGUUUGUGUGUUUGUCAGCAAGAUUUCUCAAAAAUGGCUAAAUGGAUUUGGAUGAAAGUUGGGAUACAUUUGGACUAUGACCCAACUUAGAAGUGCUUAGUUUUGGAGGGCCAAGGUCAGGAAAAUAAAAAAAAUUCUAUCUGUUAACAUGGAGAGUGAUUUUUCAUGCUAUUUUUGCUCUAAAACUCAGUAAAAAAUUAUCAGAUUUUGAUGAAACUUGAUGGGCUUAUGUAAAGUAUUAUUCCUCAUUGUCAUAUCAAAAAUGGCCCAUGCCUGUUCAUAACAAUGAACAUAUAGACACAUUAUCUUAUUUUUUUGAGAGAUGAAUAUGAUCAAUGUUGCGUGCAGAGGUAUGUGCUCUACUGAGAGCCCUCUAGUUAUAUGUGUUUUAAGAAUGUCUUUGUAAAGUUUAGUUUGUUUUUUUGUGUGCAUCUGUUGCUAAAGUAUGAAAAGUUCUGGUCAAUUAUACAUUUUUUAAGCUUUUAAUUUCUUGUUAACGUUUUAAGACAUAAGACAUAGAAAUGGUUUGAUAAAUUAAUCUUUAUUUAUAUUUAAUAUGUUGUUUUC
rnacentral:misc_RNA from 1 species